CCUACGGGGCGCAGCAGUGAGGAAUAUUGGUCAAUGGACGAGAGUCUGAACCAGCCAAGUAGCGUGAAGGAUGACUGCCCUAUGGGUUGUAAACUUCUUUUAUAAAGGAAUAAAACGAGGCACGUGUGCCUUUUUGCAUGUACUUUAUGAAUAAGGAUCGGCUAACUCCGUGCCAGCAGCCGCGGUAAUACGGAGGAUCCGAGCGUUAUCCGGAUUUAUUGGGUUUAAAGGGAGCGUAGAUGGGUUGUUAAGUCAGUUGUGAAAGUUUGCGGAUCAACCGUAAAAUUGCAAUUGAUACUGGCAGUCGUGAGUACAGUUGAGGUAGGCGGAAUUCGUGGUGUAGCGGUGAAAUGCUUAGAUAUCACGAAGAACCCCGAUUGCGAAGGCAGCUUACUAAACUGUGACUGACAUUGAUGCUCGAAAGUGUGGGUAUCAAACAGGAUUAGAUACCCGAGUAGUC
rnacentral:rRNA from 1 species